rnacentral:piRNA from 1 species
UAUUCUCUUUGAGCAUCUCUGAAGU